rnacentral:rRNA from 2 species
UAGUGAGUUUGAUCCUGGCUCAGAGUGAACGCUGGCGGCAGGCUUAACACAUGCAAGUCGAACGCUCGCAGCAAUGCGGGAGUGGCAGACGGGUGAGUAACGCGUGGGAACGUGCCCUUUGGUUCGGAAUAACUCAGGGAAACUUGAGCUAAUACCGGAUAAGCCCCUUACGGGGGAAAGAUUUAUCGCCGAAGGAUCGGCCCGCGUCCGAUUAGCUAGUUGGUGAGGUAAUGGCUCACCAAGGCGACGAUCGGUAGCUGGUCUGAGAGGAUGAUCAGCCACACUGGGACUGAGACACGGCCCAGACUCCUACGGGGAGGCAGCAGUGGGGAAUAUUGGACAAUGGGGGCAACCCUGAUCCAGCCAUGCCGCGUGAGUGAUGAAGG